rnacentral:rRNA from 1 species
GACGAACGCUGGCGGCGCGCUUAACACAUGCAAGUCGAACGGAAAGGCCUGCUUUCCCUUGUGGAUUGCGGGUACUCGAGUGGCGAACGGGUGAGUAACACGUGAGUGAUCUGCCCCCAACUUGGGUAUAAGCCUGGGAAACUGGGUCUAAUUCCCGAUAGGACUGCAGGGUGGUGCCUGUGGUGGAAAACGAUUUUCUAGUGGUUGGGGAUGAGCUCGCGGCCUAUCAGCUUGUUGGUGGGGUAAUGGCCUACCAAGGCGGCGACGGGUAGCCGGCCUGGGAGGGUGGACGGCCACAUUGGGACUGAGAUACGGCCCAGACUCCUACGGGAGGCAGCAGUGGGGAAGAUUGCACAAUGGGCGGAAGCCUGAUGCAGCGACGCCGCGUGGGGGAUGACGGCCUUCGGGUUGUAAACUCCUUUCGACCGCGAGGAAGCCACCUGGUUGGAAGGGUGGUGACGGUAGUGGUAGAAGAAGCACCGGCUAACUACGUG